CACGGCCAAAACCGGCAGAGCUCUGCGCGGCGCCACCACCCACACACUCCCACCCAGCACCCACCCAAGCACCCCCGGCGCCACCACCGCACCACCACGCCUGCUCUGCCCGCCGCGCUACGGACUUCCCUUCCCAGCGACCCCCGGGAGAGACCACCGCCCCCGCUACCACCACGCGGAAGCCAGGCGAAGCAGCUAGCAGCACCGCCGCCGCGGGUCAAUCUCGCUCCCUCCCGUUCCGUCGUUCCCUAGCAUGGUAUCUGCCAACGCGCCGCCUCCGCAGCUGGCCGAGGCGGGCGACGACGCCAGCAAGAAGGUGCGCAAGCCCUACACCAUCACCAAGUCGCGGGAGAGCUGGACGGAGCAGGAGCACGACAAGUUCCUCGAGGCCCUCCAGCUCUUUGAUCGUGACUGGAAAAAGAUAGAAGCUUUUGUUGGUUCGAAGACUGUCAUCCAGAUAAGGAGCCAUGCGCAGAAGUAUUUUUUGAAGGUUCAGAAAAAUGGAACAAGUGAGCAUGUCCCACCUCCACGACCAAAGCGUAAAGCUGCUCAUCCAUACCCUCAGAAGGCCUCCAAAAAUGAACCAGGAUAUACCCUGAAGACAGAUGCAUCUUCCAUGCUUAGGAACUCAGGAAUGAAUGUGGCUGUUUCUUCAUGGACCCACAAUUCCAUCCCACCAGUUGUUGCCUCAUCUUUGGUUAAAGAAGAUUUAGGUGCUGGAUCUAUGGGCCCAAACAUCUUUUGCUCAAGCAGUAGUGAAGGUCCUCCAAGGGCAUGGCAACCUGGUGAAACCAAUGAUCAGAUAAAUCAAGUUCCAUCACUCCACACUAAGCCGGAUUUUGCACAAGUAUACAGCUUCUUAGGCAGCGUUUUCGAUCCAAGCACAAAUGGUCAUUUGCAGAAACUUAAGGAGAUGAAUCCAAUUGAUUUUGAGACGGCAUUGCUGUUGAUGAGAAAUCUCUCCAUCAAUUUGACUAGUCCUGAUUUUGAAGAUCAAGGUUUGCCCAGUUGCCCAUGGUUUCUGGUACUGUCAGUACAACUGCUGCCACUGUGCAGAACGACUGGAAUAUUUGGGCAGCCAUCAUGUGUGUAAAGUAAUCAUGUUUUUGCAAACUUUCAAAAUUAUCAGAAAUUUGGUAUGUACUGAUACCCAGUUCUUAUCAAAAUAAAAAAAGGUCAAUUCCAAAAUUGUUUUGUUUUACAUUAGAUAGUCUUCAGGGGGCUGUUAAAAAAAAGAGAUAGUCUCAGGGGGGCAAAUGAAUUUUAAGCAUGUUUGGCUUGUUGAGUAAUGUAACACUGGGAAGUAGGAUGUGCUUUGCACUGCUACUCAACUCUGGCAUUCUGUACAGUUCCAUUACCUAUUCAGACUAACGUGUAUUCAUCUAAAAAAGAAACUAACUUGUAUUUGAUUCAACUUAUACAGAGGAAGUUGCUGUCUUCAUACAAUUCUGCAUCUGAUGGGCUUGAGCUAGGGAGCUCCAGAAGCUCACUUCUAGCUGAUAGUGCAUUGAGCCUUUUUUGAUAGUUCACGAUUAAAGAAGAAUGGUGGUGCCUAUAAUUUCAGCUUGAUCUCUGAAUAGGGGUUUUUCCUGGAGCACCGAUGAAAGUGCUUGCACCAUUGUAUUUCUAGCUAGCUUCGAACAGUAGAAUGUGUAAGGGUGCAAAAGUGUACAGUAGGCUUCCGUAAGGUGAGAUCUGUCUAUAGCCUGGUGUGUAUAUAUUUUCGCCCCGAAGCGUGUAUUUUCCCUACACUUAGGUGCUCGAACUUUCUUCAGUUAUAAGGCUUAGCAAUGCUGCUCUUAGUAAUAGAACAUGUGAAGAAAAUUUUGAGUAAUGCUGGUUCCUCACUUUUCUGUCCAUUGAGUUCAGUUGGCGAUAUCGUUCUGUUAUCUGGCAAGACACUGCUCGUUGUGGCCAUGAUGUAACCAAUAGUACUCCAUCUGUCGUCUGUUGAGCAUACAAAUUUGUAAGUUGUUUCAGUUGAGGUUAUCGAAAAUGUGGCUUGUUUUCCCCA